GCCCCCGUGGCGCAGUGGUAGCGCGCUCCCGAGUUAAGGGAGAGGUCCUCGGUUCAAACCCGAGCGGAGGCA